CAAACGGCCCUUUUCAGGGCCACAACAUUUUCAUGAAAUGAAAAA
rfam:Daphnia pulex DAPPTscaffold_6_Cont413, whole genome shotgun sequence.